ACCUGCAUGCCAUACUAGUAUCUUCAUACUAUUUGGUUAUAAGAAUAACCAAUACAUAUGGUACACAACGACCUACACUUGAUAUCGCUAUCAUCCUAGUAAUAGUGUAUCAUUUGGUCGGAAAUCAAUUUAAGGACUAUGCGAUAAAUUCUCUUUUAUCGAUCAAAGUAGUCCUAAGGACUUCAUCACAAUAUAAGAGUUUGUUAGAAGAUGUAUCUUUGUGAUAAAAAAUAUCA
rnacentral:lncRNA from 1 species